GACGAACGCUGGCGGCGCGCUUAACACAUGCAAGUCGAACGGAAAGGCCUGCUUUCCCUUGUGGAUUGCGGGUACUCGAGUGGCGAACGGGUGAGUAACACGUGAGUGAUCUGCCCCCAACUUGGGUAUAAGCCUGGGAAACUGGGUCUAAUUCCCGAUAGGACUGCAGGGUGGCGCCUGUGGUGGAAAACGAUUUUCUAGUGGUUGGGGAUGAGCUCGCGGCCUAUCAGCUUGUUGGUGGGGUAAUGGCCUACCAAGGCGGCGACGGGUAGCCGGCCUGAGAGGGUGGACGGCCACAUUGGGACUGAGAUACGGCCCAGACUCCUACGGGAGGCAGCAGUGGGGAAUAUGACACAAUGGGCGGAAGCCUGAUGCAGCGACGCCGCGUGGGGGAUGACGGCCUUCGGGUUGUAAACUCCUUUCGACCGCGAGGAAGCCACCUGGUUGGAAGGGUGGUGACGGUAGUGGUAGAAGAAGCACCGGCUAACUACGUG
rnacentral:rRNA from 1 species